UCUCUCUCUUCCGACUCUGUGAGAUAAGCAACCCGCAAAAGAAUGGCAUUGCCAUCAAGCAUCAAGCCUUUUGCUGCCAAGAAAAUCCUCACGAAAAUCUCUUCCUUCACGUUCAAACCACGCACGUCAAGCUAAAAUUUGACUAGAGAAGAUAAAGAGGAAACUGGUGGGAGAAAACAAAACAAGACAUGCAGAGAGUCAAAUUUGCCUAUGCACAGAGAGAAACAUAAUAAUAAGCCCUGUACACCCCGAGCGGCUACUUACAACAGGUCCAAACGCGGGCAGAGGC